rnacentral:rRNA from 1 species
GACGAACGCUGGCGGCGUGCCUAAUACAUGCAAGUCGAACGGUCUUUUCUAUGGAAGCUUGCUUCCACUGAGAAGAUAGUGGCGAACGGGUGAGUAACACGUGGGUAACCUGCCCAUAAGAGGGGGAUAACAUCCGGAAACGGGUGCUAAUACCGCAUAGUUUUCUUGAUCGUAUGAUCGGGAAAGGAAAGACGGCCUUUGUGCUGUCGCUUAUGGAUGGACCCGCGGCGUAUUAGUUAGUUGGUGAGGUAAUGGCUCACCAAGACGAUGAUACGUAGCCGACCUGAGAGGGUGAUCGGCCACAUUGGGACUGAGACACGGCCCAAACUCCUACGGGAGGCAGCAGUAGGGAAUCUUCCGCAAUGGACGAAAGUCUGACGGAGCAACGCCGCGUGAGUGAAGAAGGUUUUCGGAUCGUAAAACUCUGUUGUCAGAGAAGAACAAGUUGGAGAGUAACUGCUCCAGCCUUGACGGUAUCUGACCAGAAAGCCACGGCUAACUACGUGCCAGCAGCCGCCGUAAAAC